AAAGCCUUUUUUCUGCGCUAUCUUGUGGUGUAGAACCCUUAGGUGGAUUUGCCUUGGAGGAUAUUUGAAGGAUUUGGAUGCUGUCGUUGAGCUAUUUAGGGCUUCACAAAUGAUCACACAUCCAAAUGAACAAUUCCUGGAGAAACAUAUCUCGUGGGCAAGUCAUUUCUUGAAACGGGGAAUUAUCCAACGCUACUUAAUUUGCAUAUAAACAUAAACAAAAUAUUAUGCAGGUGAAUGAUGCCCUUGAGUUUCCCCAUUGCCAAGUUUGGAGCGGUUCGUAUACAGGAGAAACAUAGUGAACUAUGCUGUUGAUGAUAUACGGAUGCCUUUAAAUAAAUAAUAGUGUAUACCUGAUUUGCAUUCUUCGAGUAUUGGCAACAAAGAUUUCCUUAGACUAGCAGUGGAGGACUACAAUGCCUGUCAAUCUAUGUAUCGUGAAGAACUCAAACAACUGGAGAGGUGGGUUCGAGAAAAGCGAUUGGACAAACUGAAGUUUUCCAGGCAGAAAUUAGCACACUGUCACUUUUCUGCAGCUGCAACCAUAUGCUUUAAGGUACGCUUCUCUUCGGACUAAUAACACGGGUAUCUUUGCACAUAAUUCAUGGUACCAAUUCAGAUCAUGUAAAUCAAGAAAUGAAGCAUUUAAUCGAGGAAAGGAGGAGAGAGUGCUUAGAUUAGUGUUGCAGGAGAACGGUAGCAUCGUGCCGAGACAAUGCAAGGAAUUAUUCUGGAAAUUGUGCAAAGUAUUACAUUUUACCUCACAUGAGCCAUACUUGUACACCAUUUGUAGAUUAGCCUUUUAUGUGAUAGUAUAGGCCAGAUAUGGUAAACUAAUAUUGCAAAAUCAUGGUUGAUUACCUUUCUAUGCCAUAUGGGUAAAGCAGAUUAUGAUGGAGUGCAAA